UACCUGGUUGAUCCUGCCAGUAGUCAUAUGCUUGUCUCAAAGAUUAAGCCAUGCAUGUGUAAGCACACACUGUUUUAAAAGUGAAGCCGCGAAUGGCUCAUUACAACAGCCACAGUUUAUUAGAACUUACAAUCAUGGAUAACUGUGGUAAUUCUAGAGCUAAUACACGCACAAAAACUUCAACUGAAUUGGUUGAAGUGCUUUUAUUAGAACAAAAACCGAACGGCGUUUGACGAAUGUUGAACGUCGAAACUGUUUGGUGAAUCUGAAUAACUAUUUCUGAUCGCAUGGUCUAGCACCGGCGACAUCACUUUCAAGUGUCUGCCUUAUCAACCUUCGAUGGUAGUCUAUGCGACUACCAUGGUGAUAACGGGUAACGGAGAAUCAGGGUUCGACUCCGGAGAGGGAGCCUGAGAAACGGCUACCACAUCCAAGGAAGGCAGCAGGCGCGCAAAUUACCCACUCCCAGCUUGGGGAGGUAGUGACGAAAAAUAACGAGACGAUUCUCGUUUGAGAAACGUUAUCGAAAUGAGUACGCUUUACACACGCUAACGAGUAGCAAUUGGAGGGCAAGUCUGGUGCCAGCAGCCGCGGUAAUUCCAGCUCCAAUAGCGUAUAUUAAAGUUGCUGCGGUUAAAACGCUCGUAGUUGAAUUGUGGUCUUAGACAACAGUCCCCCUACAAAGGUGUGGCACGGUUGCUCGAGAUCUUCAUUCGUGGUUGCUGUUGUUGCUCUUCAUUGAGUGUCAAUGGUUGCCUCGAGAUUUACUUUGAAAAAAUUAGAGUGCCUCAAAGCAGGGUUGGUGAUGCCCUGAAAAUAAUGGGUGCCAUGG
rnacentral:ncRNA from 1 species